rnacentral:rRNA from 1 species
AUUGAACGCUGGCGGCAGGCCUAACACAUGCAAGUCGAGCGAGCGGCGGACGGGUGAGUAAUGUAUGGGGACUGCCCGAUAGAGGGGGAUAACUACUGGAAACGGUAGCUAAUACCGCAUACUAUCGGAUAACCCAUAUGGGAUUAGCUAGUAGGGGGGGUAAUGGCUCACCAAGGCGACGAUCCCUAGCUGGUUUGAGAGGAGGAUCAGCCACAAUGGGACUGAGACACGGCCCAGACUCCUACGGAGGCAGCAGUGGGGAAGAUUGGACAAUGGGCGAAAGCCUGAUGCAGCCAUUCCGCGUGGAUGAUGAAGGCCUUAGGGUUGUAAAGUACUUUGGGCAGAGAGGCGUUACCUGCAGAAGAAGAACCGGCUAACUCCGUGCCAGCAGCCGCGGUAAUAC